CACGUAGGGCGCAAGCGUUGUCCGGAAUUAUUGGGCGUAAAGAGCUCGUAGGCGGUCUGUUGCGUCCGCUGUGAAAACUCGGGGCUUAACCCCGAGCCUGCAGUGGAUACGGGCAGACUAGAGGUAGGUAGGGGAGAAUGGAAUUCCCGGUGUAGCGGUGAAAUGCGCAGAUAUCGGGAGGAACACCGGUGGCGAAGGCGGUUCUCUGGGCCUUACCUGACGCUGAGGAGCGAAAGCGUGGGGAGCGAACAGGGAUUAGAAACCCCCUGG
rnacentral:rRNA from 1 species